AGCGCAGGCGGGAAACUAAGCGGAUCUUAAAAGUGCGGGGCUCAACCCCGUGAUGGGGUCCGAACUGGUUUUCUUGGGUGCAGGAGAGGAAAGCGGAAUUCCCAGUGUAGCGGUGAAAUGCGUAGAUAUUGGGAAGAACACCAGUGGCGAAGGCGGCUUUCUGGACUGUAACUGACGCUGAGGCUCGAAAGCUAGGGUAGCGAACG
rnacentral:rRNA from 1 species